rnacentral:rRNA from 1 species
GUGAGGAAUAUUGGUCAAUGGACGGAAGUCUGAACCAGCCAUGCCGCGUGCAGGAAUAAGGUCCUAUGGAUUGUAAACUGCUUUUAUUCGGGAAUAAACCUCUUUACGUGUAGGGAGCUGAAGGUACCGAAGGAAUAAGCACCGGCUAACUCCGUGCCAGCAGCCGCGGUAAUACGGAGGGUGCAAGCGUUAUCCGGAAUCAUUGGGUUUAAAGGGUCCGCAGGCGGGCUAUCAAGUCAGAGGUGAAAUCCCAAAGCUUAACUGUGGAACUGCCUUUGAAACUGAUGGUCUUGAAUUAAGUGGGCGUUGGCGGAAUAUGACAUGUAGCGGUGAAAUGCAUAGAUAUGUCAUGGAACACCGAAAGCGAAGGCAGCUAACGAUACUUAUAUUGACGCUCAUGGACGAAAGCGUGGGUAGCGAACAGGAUUAGAAACCCUAGUAGUCC